rnacentral:rRNA from 1 species
UCAGUUCGGAUUGGAGUCUGCAACUCGACUCCAUGAAGCUGGAUUCGCUAGUAAUCGCGCAUCAGCCAUGGCGCGGUGAAUACGUUCCCGGGCCUUGUACACACCGCCCGUCAAGCCAUGGGAGUCGGGAGUGCCUGAAGUUCGUGACCGUCACAGGAGCGACCUAAGGCAAGACCGAUGACUGGGGCUAAGUCGUAACAAGGUAAC